CCGCCAACAUGUGACGGGGUCUGCCUGCCACUUAGGGCGGGGCUCAGGACCGCCACACAGCUCGCCAGGUGGUAUUAAUGAGACCCCGUCCUCAUCAGGUUGGAGCCGCUUCUCUAGGGAGCAUCUGUGAAAAACUGGUUGCUGUGCCCAUUCGUCUGGCCAUGAAUUCAGCAAAUAUUUACUGAGGGGGAAAGGAAAUUUUCACACACGAAUGUAAUGACUUUUGGUCACCCGCUGAAACUUUCCUUCCCAGGUUGCUUGCCUGAGCACAGAGGAGGGUAUUUAUUGGAGCAUGGACUACGUAUCAGCUACGCCACUGAAGAACACUACUCCCGCCAGCAACCUUUAACUGCCAAUAGCCCCUCAAAGGAGGGUGGAGCCUCACCAGUCCUUCCCCGUCCCCCACCCAGUAUGAAAUACUGAUGGGCCAAAUCUGGGAUUUUGUGCAGUGUGGACAAACCAAGGGGCAAGAGAGAACGAUUUAUUAGAAUAACCUACAGGCUGUGGUCCAGCUCGUUCAACAAUGGCUGUUUACCAAUGGAAGGACCAAGAAUCCAGUAAGUGUUCAGACCACAAAGCUGCAUGUCUCAUCUGGUCUUCAGUAUACACUGAAAUCAAAAGAAGUAGGCUCUAACGCCAGUGAAGGAAUGGACUUGCCAUCGAGAGUGACCAAGCAGAAAAGAGAGAGCAAGCUUCCUGCCUCCACGUCCUUUACAGGCUGCCAGUAGAAGGUGUGGUUCAGUUUAACAGUUAUCUUCCUACCUCAAAGAUCUGGACUAAAAGUAGGUCUUCCCUCUUCAACUGAUCUAAUUAACAACAACAACAACAACAACAAUAAUAAUAAUAAUAAUAAUUCCUCACAGGUGUGUCCAAUCAUUUGGGUUUUAGUAAAUUCCACAUGUAGUCAAGUUGACAGACAAGAACAGACAUCAUGAUAGGUGUUGUGUAACAGUUUCCUCCUGGGAUUAAAACGUCCCAUCCUGCAGGAAGCUCCGUAAGCAGGAAGGUAAACAAUUCAAACCAGUUUCAGGAAGUCCCUGAAACCUACCAAAUUCAUUAGGCCUUGCCUUGCCAUAGUAAGCAAUAAAAGCUGGGAGUUUUUCUUAGCCAAAGUGAAGCUGAGCAGCUUCACUCUGAAGAGCAGACCAGUUUCCUGGAAAAAGCAGAAGCAGCUAAGCUGCCUGGAAGAGAUUUGAAUCGACUUGAGUUACUUGGAAACGACGGUCUCCAGCCUGCUAAACUAUCUGCAGGCUGUGCAGUGCGCUUCCGAUUCCCAGCUUUUUUGAGAUGUCAACCCUGUUGGAGUGGGCUUUGGUGAUGCAGCUGUCUUUUAGUCAUUUUUGCUCCCAUAAGUAACCCCAAUAAAACUCACUGGUUCACCAAAUUGGAUUUUGGUGGGUUUUGUACUUUGAUCUACUGUGGGUUCCCUGUGUUUUGCGCUUCCCCAGGAGACAUUCUGUCACACAACAAUAGGCCUUUUUUAACUGGCCAAAGGUGAAAAUAAAAAAGAGGGGCGAUAGAAUUUCACAGUCUUUUAAGUUUUAUGUGUAUUGGUGUUUUACCUGCAUGUAUGU